AUGCAAGACAGAGGUGACGGAUUACCUUCCUACUGUUUCUUCCAGGUCCGGUCCGAACCAGCCUUGUAUAUAUCAUCAAUCAUUUUAACAUGUAUAAGACGGAGAUUACGGGUUACCUUCCUACUGUUCUCCCAGGUCGUAUCAUCAACCAUUUUAACAUGUAGUAUAAGAUGGAGGUUACGGGUUACCUUCCUACUGUUCUCCCAGGUCGUAUCAUCAACCAUUUUAACAUGUAGUAUAAGAUGGAGGUUACGGGUUACCUUCCUACUGUUUCUUCCAGGUCCGGUCCGACCCAACCUUGUAUAUAUCAUCAAUCAUUUUAACAUGUAUAAGAUGGAGGUUACCUGUCUAGUGUUUCUUCCAGGUCCUAACCAAACCUUGUAUGUCAUCAAUCAAUCAAUCAUUUUAACAUGUAAGACAGACAGAGGUUACGGAAUACCUGCCUAG
rnacentral:rRNA from 1 species